AGCAGCCGCGGUAAUUCCAGCUCCAAUAGCGUAUAUUAAAGUUGUUGCAGUUAAAAAGCUCGUAGUUGAAUUUCGGGACCAAUUUGUUGGUCGUGCCUCGGUACGUACUGGUAUUAUUGGUUUCUCCCUUCUGAAGAACCUCGAUGUCAUUAAUUUGGUGUCGUGGGGAAUCAGGACUGUUACUUUGAAAAAUUAGAGUGUUUAAAGCAGGCAUACGCUUGAAUACAUUAGCAUGGAAUAAUGAAAUAGGACGUUUGAUUCUAUUUUGUUGGUUUCUAGGAUCGACGUAAUGAUUAAUAGGGAUAGUUGGGGGCAUUAGUAUUCAAUUGUCAGAGGUGAAAUUCUUGGAUUUAUUGAAGACUAACUACUGCGAAAGCAUUUGCCAAGGAUGUUUUCAUUAAUCAAGAACGAAAGUUAGGGGAUCGAAGACGAUCAGAUACCGUCGUAGUC
rnacentral:rRNA from 1 species